GGGGUUGUAGCUUAGUGGUACAGCGCUUGCCUGGCAUGUGUGAGGCACUGGGUUCAAUUCUCAGCAUCACAU
rfam:Ictidomys tridecemlineatus contig090681, whole genome shotgun sequence.